AGUCGACGGAAGGCCCUUCGGGGUACUCGAGUGGCGAACGGGUGAGUAACACGUGGGUGANNNNNNCUGCACUUUGGGAUAAGCCUGGGAAACUGGGUCUAAUACCGAAUAUGACCAUGCGCCUCCUGGUGUGUGGUGGAAAGCUUUUGCGGUGUGGGAUGGGCCCGCGGCCUAUCAGCUUGUUGGUGGGGUAAUGGCCUACCAAGGCGACGACGGGUAGCCGGCCUGAGAGGGUGACCGGCCACACUGGGACUGAGAUACGGCCCAGACUCCUACGGGAGGCAGCAGUGGGGAAUAUUGCACAAUGGGCGCAAGCCUGAUGCAGCGACGCCGCGUGAGGGAUGACGGCCUUCGGGUUGUAAACCUCUUUCAGCACAGACGAAGCGCAAGUGACGGUAUGUGCAGAAGGAGGACCGGCCAACUACGUGCCAGCAGCCGCGGUAAUACGUAGGGUCCGAGCGUUGUCCGGAAUUACUGGGCGUAAAGAGCUCGUAGGUGGUUUGUCGCGUUGUUCGUGAAAACUCACAGCUUAACUGUGGGCGUGCGGGCGAUACGGGCAGACUUGAGUACUGCAGGGGAGACUGGAAUUCCUGGUGUAGCGGUGGAAUGCGCAGAUAUCAGGAGGAACACCGGUGGCGAAGGCGGGUCUCUGGGCAGUAACUGACGCUGAGGAGCGAAAGCGUGGGGAGCGAACAGGAUUAGAUACCCUGGUAGUCCACGCCGUANACGGUGGGUACUAGNNNUNGGUUUCCUUCCUUGGGAUCCGUGCCGUAGCUAACGCAUUAAGUACCCCGCC
rnacentral:rRNA from 1 species